UACGGGGGGAGCGAGCGUUGUUCGGAUUUACUGGGCGUAAAGGGCGCGUAGGCGGCCAGCACAAGUCAGUUGUGAAAUCUCCGAGCUUAACUCGGAACGGUCAACUGAUACUGUGCGGCUAGAGUGCGGAAGGGGCAACUGGAAUUCUUGGUGUAGCGGUGAAAUGCGUAGAUAUCAAGAGGAACACCUGCGGCGAAGGCGGGUUGCUGGGCCGACACUGACGCUGAGGCGCGAAAGCCAGGGGAGCGAACGGG
rnacentral:rRNA from 1 species